CAACAAACUAGGUUAGCUACCGAAAAGCAGAACUGUGACUGCCUGUUUGUUGUUUUUGUUAUUCACA
rnacentral:ncRNA from 1 species